rnacentral:tRNA from 1 species
UCCGAGGUAGCUCAGUUGGUAGAGCAAAUGGCUGUUAACCAUUGGGUCGUGGGUUCGAGUCCCUCCCUCGGAG